rnacentral:lncRNA from 1 species
CAAGAUCUUUGUCAGCUGGUGUUAGUUCACUACUGCUGGAGGCCCAUUUCAUUCUAAUUCUCAUUAUAAGAAUUCUUCUUAUACCUAACAUCCCAACCAUCACACAUGUAGCACCAGAACUUUCCUUGAUAUUGCUUUGGCAUCUGAAGCUUUUUCACUUCCUUAGAUAUGUUAUAUUGGGAUUUGUGUUUAACCAGAUUUUUGCUGUAACCAGAUGUCUCUCUUUUCCUGCAUUCUGACUGUUUUUUUCUCCUAUGUGAAUAAUCUGGAACUUGGCUGUAGUCUUUGUAUUGGUAAAACAACAGUCACUCAAGGAUUUGGAAACCAAGUUAUUGAACAUCAAGUACUGGAUGGUGUUAACACAGCGCUCCUACCCUUGCGCUUCCCUGUCCUGGGAUCCUCAAAGAAAGUCUCCUGUUCCUGGUCUCUUCUCUUCAGGCUUUGA